CCCCAGCCCACAGCCUCCUUUCAAAGUGACUUUUCUCUAUUGACCCAAUUCUUACCCCCAGCCCACACCUGGCCUCUCCUCGACCUCUAUCUACCAUCUACAGGUUCCACACCCUGUCUUCUCUAUCUACCAUCUACAGGUUCCACACCCUGUCCUCUCCUCCACCUCUUAUCUACCAUCUACAGGUUCCACACCCUGUCUUCUCUAUCUCCCAUCUAUAGGUUCCACACCCUGUCCUCUAUCUCCCAUCUACAGGUUCCACACCCUGUCUUCUCCUCUAUCUCCCAUCUACAGGUUCCACACCCUGUCCUCUAUCUCCCAUCUACAGGUUCCACACCCUGUCUUCUCCUCUAUCUCCCAUAUACAGGUUCCACACCCUGUCCUCUAUCUCCCAUCUACAGGUUCCACACCCUGUCCUCUCCUCUAUCUCCCAUCUACAGGUUCCACACCCUGUCUUCUCCUCUAUCUCCCAUCUACAGGUUCCACACCCUGUCCUCUAUCUCCCAUCUACAGGUUCCACACCCUGUCCUCUCCUCUAUCUACCAUCUACAGGUUCCACACCCUGUCCUCUCCUCCACCUCUUAUCUACCAUCUACAGGUUCCACACCCUGUCUUCUCUAUCUCCCAUCUAUAGGUUCCACACCCUGUCCUCUAUCUCCCAUCUACAGGUUCCACACCCUGUCCUCUAUCUCCCAUCUACAGGUUCCACACCCUGUCCUCUCCUCUAUCUCCCAUCUACAGGUUCCACACCCUGUCCUCUAUCUCCCAUCUACAGGUUCCACACCGUGUCCUCUCCUCCACCUCUAUCUCCCAUCUACAGGUUCCACACCCUGUCCUCUCCUCUAUCUCGCAUCUACAGGUUCCACACCCUGCCUCUCCUCCACCUCUAUCUACCAUCUACAGGUUCCACACCCUGUCUUCUCUAUCUACCAUCUACAGGUUCCACACCCUGUCUUCUCCUCUAUCUCCCAUCUACAGGUUCCACACCCUGUCUUCUCUAUCUACCAUCUACAGGUUCCACACCCUGUCUUCUCCUCUAUCUCCCAUCUACAGGUUCCACACCCUGUCUUCUCUAUCUCCCAUCUACAGGUUCCACACCCUGUCUUCUCUAUCUACCAUCUACAGGUUCCACACCCUGUCCUCUCCUCUAUCUCCCAUCUACAGGUUCCACACCCUGUCCUCUCCUCUAUCUACCAUCUACAGGUUUCACACCCUGUCCUCUCCUCUAUCUCCCAUCUACAGGUUCCACACCCUGUCUUCUCCUCUAUCUCCCAUCUACAGGUUCCACACCGUGUCCUCUCCUCCACCUCUAUCUACCAUCUACAGGUUCCACACCCUGUCCUCUCCUCUAUCUCCCAUCUACAGGUUCCACACCCUGUCCUAUCCUCUAUCUACCAUCUACAGGUUCCACACCCUGCCUCUCCUCCACCUCUAUCUACCAUCUACAGGUUCCACACCCUGCCUCUCCUCCACCUCUAUCUACCAUCUACAGGUUCCACACCCUGUCCUCUCCUCCACCUCUAUCUCCCAUCUACAGGUUCCACACCCUGUCUUCUCUAUCUCCCAUCUACAGGUUCCACACCGUGUCCUCUCCUCUAUCUCCCAUCUACAGGUUCCACACCCUGCCUCUCUUCUCUCAAAUCUGUGAAUACCCCUGAGAAUACAUCUUUCUUAAUUCACAUUAGUCUGUGA
ensembl:lncRNA